rnacentral:rRNA from 1 species
GCAUAAUUAUGGGCGCAGCCUGAUCCAGCCAUGCCGCGUGAGUGAUGACGGCCCUAGGGUUGUAAAGCUCUUUCGCCAGGGACGAUAAUGACGGUACCUGGAUAAGAAGCCCCGGCUAACUUCGUGCCAGCAGCCGCGGUAAUAAA